rnacentral:rRNA from 1 species
UACGGAGGAUGCAAGCGUUAUCCGGAAUGAUUGGGCGUAAAGCGUCCGCAGGUGGCUAUGUAAGUCUGCUGUUAAAGAGUGAGGCUCAACCUCAUAAGAGCAGUGGAAACUACAUGGCUAGAGUGCGUUCGGGGCAGAGGGAAUUCCUGGUGUAGCGGUGAAAUGCGUAGAUAUCGAGAGGAACACCUGCGGCGAAGGCGGGUUGCUGGGCCGACACUGACGCUGAUGCGCGAAAGCCAGGGGAGCGAACGGG